rnacentral:rRNA from 1 species
GUCUAUGGCCAUACCACCCUAAACGUGCUCAAUCUCAUCUGAUCUCGUAAACUAAACAGAGCUAGAACUGGGAUGAGAGAGAGAGAGAGGCAAAGAGA